GGUUUGCUUUGAAGUCUGUUUUUUUACUUGUGUAUCUGCUUUGUUUAGGGUAGAUCUGUGAGCUGCUAUUUUAUUGAGGUGUGUGAGAUGCUUUCUGUGAGUUGUGAUCUGUUUGGUUCAUCUUUGAGUUGCGUUCUAUGGUCGAUGAUGUAGUCAUUAGUGUGCACUGGGAGGCAUUUAUUUUGCAGUCGUGUACACAUCAUAUUGUUCUUGAUUCAUGUUGCAAGCAUGUUGAUGCAUAGCAGGGUAUGAUUAGCUGAACUGUUCUUAUAUGUCAUUGUAAUACCUAAAAAUUUGCUUUUGAAUUAAUAGGAUUUAAUGAGAAUUAUUUAAGCAAUUUCUGUGGGCAUUUAAUCUAGUAAAUAAAAUAUUUUUGGUCAAAAUUAAAAUUCAUUAUAAGUUAGUAAACUUGAUUGUGCAUUCAUGCUGAGGUAUAUUUUAUUUUGUGCUAAUUUCUUUUUGGUUGGAUUUUGGUUGCUCUCAAAACCCUAUUUAAAAAGGCUUUAGAAAACAGAAAAAGAAAAAUAGAAAAAAAAAAAGAAAACCCCAGCCGAACCCCCUCACCCCACGCGCGGCCCAGUUCUCCAACCAGCCAGCGCCCAGCCCAACUCCCCCUUCACCCGGCUCAGCGAGAGGCCCAGCUCGCCCCGCGCGCGCCUCCCCCUUCUCCCUUCCGCUGAUGGCCGGCCCCCACCUCUUCUCUCUCUGCCACGCGGCCCCACUGCGCAGUGCCCCCUUCUCCUUCCUGGCGCCGUGGUCGAGCAGGUCUCCACCGGGGGAAACUAACUCCGCCUAUUCCGCGAUUUCUUGCCUUUUUGCGCAAACCAAGGCCCUAUAAAUCUUCUACGACCCCGCCGUGACCCCCUUUGUUGUUUCUUUGCACCUCGGGAACCCUAGCCGUCGAGUUCGUUGAAUUUUGGAUCACACCGAAGCGAGUUUUUAUUCCUCACCGUGAACCGAGUGUUUCGUUCUUCCUCGGCCCGAGCAAAGCCUG
rnacentral:lncRNA from 1 species